rnacentral:rRNA from 2 species
GGGCCUGCGGAAGGAUCAUUA